rnacentral:rRNA from 1 species
CACCGCCCGUCACACCAUGGGAGUCAGUUGCUCCAGAAGUGGCUGCGCUAACCGCAAGGAAGCAGGUCCCUAAGGAGUGGCUGGUAACUGGGGUG